rnacentral:rRNA from 1 species
CUAAGAAUAUUCCGCAAUGGAGGAAACUCUGACGGAGCGACGCCGCGUGGAUGAUGAAGGUCGGAAGAUUGUAAAAUCCUUUUAUGACUGAGGAAUAAGCCGGGUGAGAGAAACGCCUGGUGGUGACUGUAGGUCAUGAAUAAGCAACGGCUAAUUACGUGCCAGCAGCCGCGGUAACACGUAAGUUGCGAGCGUUGUUCGGAAUUAUUGGGCGUAAAGGGCAUGUAGGCGGUAUUGCAAGCCUGGUGUGAAAGGCAGGGGCUCAACCUCUGGACUGCGCUGGGAACUGCGAUACUAGAGUCGCUGAGGGGCAAUCAGAAUUCCAGGUGUAGGGGUGAAAUCUGUAGAUAUCUGGAAGAAUACCAAUGGCGAAGGCAGGUUGCCAGCAGAUGACUGACGCUGAGGUGCGAAGGUGC